rnacentral:rRNA from 1 species
CCCUUAGAUGUUCUGGGCUGCACGCGCGCUACACUGAUGCACUCAACGAGUUUACGACCUUGCCCGAUAGGGUUGGGUAAUCUUUUUAAAAUGCAUCGUAAUGGGGAUAGAUUAUUGCAAUUAUUAAUCUUCAACGAGGAAUUCCUAGUAAGCGCGAGUCAUCAGCUCGUGCUGAUUACGUCCCUGCCCUUUGUACACACCGCCCGUCGCUCCUACCGAUUGAGUGCUCAGGUGAAUAAUUCGGACUGCAGCAAUGUUUGGAUCCCGAACGUUGCAGCGGAAAGUUUAGUGAACCUUAUCACUUAGAGGAAGGAGAAGUCGUAACA